AUGUACCCCUUGGGGUCCUGAGGACCGAGUUUGGGAAACGCUGGUUUACAGUAUUAAUGCCACCAGUAAUGUGUCUCAAAUAUCACACCCUUGAAUAAAACUCAUGAUAUGUUCAUUCGAAAAAUAUGUUAACCCGAUUUCCUGUGAUGUUUUGUGACAUAAGUGUCUCUCCAUUAUAGUAGUGUAAGACUGGCAGGAAGUGGAUCUCUCAACCCAUCAAGGUAAAGGUUAUCUUCAACGACAGAUCUAGGAUCAGAUUACCCAUCCUAACUUUAACCAAUAAAGGGAUGAAAGAGWUCUGACUCCAUAUCAGUGAUUAGGGGUAAUUUCUACCUCUUCCUUCUCCUUCCAGUCAGUAGUGGCCAGGCUUCAGCUCCUCGGCCAUUUGCAUGGCCACCUCUAUCCUGAAGGACCUUCCAGUGCAGGGAGGGGACUGACUGGGGGACCCGUCCCACUUGGUAGUGUACUGGGGAUGUCCAUCCCCAUGGGCCCUGUAGAGGGUGACGUGGCACCUCAGGUCGGGCUCCGGAGGGGACCUCAGGCUGGAUGCUCAGACGUACCCCCGGGCGGGGCCCCUGAACGUUGCCCGCAGGGGACCUUGGUCCCAUGGCUUUGUGGCCCCUCGUCUAUGGAGAGGCACUGGCCAGGAGCUUGGUUCCAUGUGGCCGUAGGCUCAGAGGAGCGGGAGGCCCUUCUUAUCGGCCCACGCUGUGACCUUCUCUUCUAUCAGCUCCUGUCUCGCCACCUGAGCUAGGUCACCACAGAAACCAAGAGACAUGAAGGAGAGAGAGAGUCCUUGAGAUAGCUGGUGGCAAACAGCCAAUCACACUGUAUGUCACUUCACUACAAAACUACAGCAGAGCAGAUUUGGAUUAAGACAUAAGCAGCAUCUACUAAUGAGCGUCUCUCUGACGUGGCUGUACUACCUGGGGCUUCAGCCACGUUAAGCCAUUCAGAAGAAAGACCCCCUCCCUCCCUCACCAUCUCAUGCUUGGACAGGAGAGGCCAUACUGUAUGGAAUUCGGAUACCCGUUCUAGGAAUUCUCACAAUUCUAUUCCUAUAGUAGAAUCCACAUUCUAUUCCUAUUGUAGAAUCAACAUUCUAUUCCUAUAGUAGAAUCCACAUUAUAUUCCUAUAGUAGAAUCCACAUUCUAUUCCUAUAGUAGAAUCCACAUUCUAUUCCUAUGGUAGAAUCCACAUUCUAUUCCUAUGGUAGAAUCCACAUUCUAUUCCUAUAGUAGAAUCCACAUUCUAUUCCUAUAUUAGAAUCCACAUUCUAUUCCUAUAGUAGAAUCCACAUUCUAAUCAGAUGCUUGAGUGGUGUGUGUUUGUUAAGUAUGGUUUCUGCUCAUGACAUGAUAACAUAGAGCCUAAUUUAUAGGUAAAAGCUGGGCCUUAGCCUUAGUAUGUAUUCAAUCUGAGAGAGAGAGAGAGAGAGAG